rnacentral:rRNA from 1 species
UACGUAGGGGGCGAGCGUUGUCCGGAUUCAUUGGGCGUAAAGAGCUCGUAGGCGGCUUGGUAAGUCGGGUGUGAAACCUCCAGGCUCAACCUGGAGACGCCACUCGAUACUGCCAUGGCUAGAGUCCGGGUAGGGGCCCACGGGAAUUCCUGGUGUAGCGGUGAAAUGACGCAGAUAUCAGGAGGAACACCGGUGGCGAAGGCGGUGGCUGGGCCGGAACUGACGCUGAGGAGCGAAAGCGUGGGGAGCGAACAGG